UUGCUGUGAUGACAAUCUUAGGACACCUUUGGAUUAACCAUGAAAUAACUCAUGUUCUGAGCAAC